CUAAGGAAGGCAUUUAAGUUUGAAGGUUGUGAGCUGCGGGAGAGGAGGCAGUGUUCCAGGGGAGGGAGUAAAGUUCAGGACCUGCGGGAGGGAGGACGCGGAUUGCUGGCGUGUCCUCUGGUUGAGAGUUUAUUGCCCUCUUGGGAAGCCCGAUCCCAGGGUUCGAGGCCAGAGACGCUUGGGCCGCUCCUAGAGUUCCUGCCUAGGCCUUUCAGUUCCAUGGAAGAGAUGUGUGAGGUGACCACCUGAUCCCCAGCAUGGUAUCUUUCUCAUUGCUCCCAUGUUCGUCUGUGCUCCACCUCAGCAGGAGCCUUAGCUGUGAGGCUCUGUGACUCAGCCAAUCUGAAAUGAAUGUAGAGGGCAACCUGCAGCCAUACAAUAAGCAGCAGAUAAAACUGUAGAUGACGCAAAAGAGUUUUUUGCAAGAGAAGCUGAGCCGGUCCCAGCACCCAGAAGGAAGCUCCCUACCACCAUCCCAGGCUCCUAGGGCAGAGAAGCUGAGCAGGUCCCAGCACCUGGAAAGAAGCCUAUCAUUCUUAAGGUAACUAAACCAAUCUCUCAUUUCUUAUGUGAUCCUCAUAACGGCCCUAUGAGAGGAGGAAGGAGUUCUUUUCUUCGUGCUCUACUGGGCAGAAACUGAGGCUCAGAGAGAAUGAGGGCCUAACCCAGAUCACUUGCUUGCGAAUUGGCAGAACCAGGUCUCACCCUAUGGCAUCUACCUUGGGAGCCUCCCAACGGGCCGGUGUGACAGACUCAGCACUG